rnacentral:rRNA from 1 species
UGAAAUCCCCGAGCUUAACUUGGGAAUUGCAUUCGAUACUGGUUAGCUAGAGUAUGGGAGAGGAUGGUAGAAUUCCAGGUGUAGCGGUGAAAUGCGUAGAGAUCUGGAGGAAUACCGAUGGCGAAGGCAGCCAUCUGGCCUAAUACUGACACUGAGGUGCGAAAGCAUGGGGAGCAAACAGGAUUAGAUACCCUGGUAGUCCAUGCCGUAAACGAUGUCUACUAGCCGUUGGGGGAUUUGAUCCUUUAGUGGCGCAGCUAACGCGAUAAGUAGACCGCCUGGGGAGUACGGUCGCAAGACUAAAACUCAAAUGAAUUGACGGGGGCCCGCACAAGCGGUGGAGCAUGUGGUUUAAUUCGAUGCAACGCGAAGAACCUUACCUGGCCUUGACAUAGUAGAGACUUUCCAGAGAUGGAUUGGUGCCUUCGGGAAUCUACAUACAGGUGCUGCAUGGCUGUCGUCAGCUCGUGUCGUGAGAUGUUGGGUUAAGUCCCGCAACGAGCGCAACCCUUUUCCUUACUUGCCAGCAUUUCGGAUGGGAACUUUAAGGAUACUGCCAGUGACAAACUGGAGGAAGGCGGGGACGACGUCAAGUCAUCAUGGCCCUUACGGCCAGGGCUACACACGUGCUACAAUGGUCGGUACAAAGGGUUGCUACACAGCGAUGUGAUGCUAAUCUCAAAAAGCCGAUCGUAGUCCGGAUCGCAGUCUGCAACUCGACUGCGUGAAGUCGGAAUCGCUAGUAAUCGCGGAUCAGAAUGCCGCGGUGAAUACGUUCCCGGGCCUUGUACACACCGCCCG